GUUCCGGUUUUUGUUCUUGUGAACGUUGACAUCGAUUCGUUCCAAAUUUACACUCUCUGGGCAUGAUAGAACAAUAUAAUAAGGUUUUACGCUUUAUUCGAUAGAAUGGGAAAAAGUACUCGCUGCAAAGUUAUACUGUUAUGGGCAACUGAGUAGUCUAAUGUUGUUCCGGUUUUUGUUCUUGUGAACGUUGACAACGAUUCGUUCCAAAUUUACACUCUCGGGGCAUAAUAGAACAAUAUAAUUAGGUUUUACUCUUUUUUCGAUUGAAUGAGAAAAAGUACUAGUUGCAAUGUUAUACUGUUAGGGCUCAACUGAGUAGUCUAACUUUGUUCCGAUUUUGGUUCUUGUGAACGUUUACAUCGAUUCGUUCCAAAUUUACACUCUCGGGGCAUGAUAGAAAGCAUUUAAUCCUUGUUCGAUAGAAUGAGAAAAAGUACUCGUUGCAAAGUUAUACUGUUAUGGGACAACUGAGUAGUCUAAUGUUGUUCCGGUUUUGGUUCUUGUGAACGUUGACAUUGAUUCGUUCCAAAUUUACACUCUCGGGGAAUAAUAGAACAAUAUAAUUAGAUUUUGCUCUUUGUUCGAUUGAAUGAGAAAAAGUACUAGUUGCAAAGUUAUACUGUUAGGGCUCAACUGAGUAGUCUAACUUUGUUCCGGUUUUGAUUCUUGUGAAUAUUUACAUCGAUUCGAUCGAAAUUUACACUCUCGGGGCAUAAUAGAAAGCUUUUACUCCUUGUUCGAUAGAACUAGAAAAAGUACUAGUUGCUAAGUUAUGCUGUUAUGGCGGAACUGAGUAGUCUAAUGUUGUUCCGGUUUUGGUUCUUUUGAACGUAGACAUCGAUUCGUUCCAAAUUUACACUCUCGGGGUAUAGUAGAACAACAUAAUUAGGUUUUGCUUAUUGUUCGAUUGAAUGAGAAAAAGUACUAGUUGCAAUGUUAUACUGUAAGGGCUCAAUUGAGUAGUCUAACUUUGUUCCGAUUUUGGUUCUAGUGAACGUUGACAUCGAUUCGUUCCAAAUUUAUACUUUCGGGGCAAAAUAGAACAUUAUAAUUAGGUUUUGCUCUUUGUUCGAUUGAAUGAGAAAAAGUACUAGUUGCAAUGUUAUACUGUUGGGGCUCAACUUAGUAGUCUAACUUUGUUCCGGUUUUGGUUAAUGUGAACGUUGACAUCGAUUCGUUCCAAAUUUACACUCUCGGGGCAUAAUAGAAAGCUUUUACUCCUUGUUCGAUAGAAUGAGAAAAAGUACUCGUUGCAAAGUUAUACUGUUAUGGCGCAACUGAGUAGUCUAACUUUGUUCCGGUUUUGGUUCUUGUGAACGUUUAUAUCGAUUCGUUCCAAAUAUACACUCUCGGGGCAUAAUAGAAAGCUUUUACUCCUUGUUCGAUAGAAUGAGAAAAAGUACUCGUUGCAAAGUUAUACUGUUAUGGGGCAACUGAGUAGUCUAAAGUUGUUCCGGUUUUGGUUCUUGUGAACGUUGACAUCGAUUCGUACCAAAUUUACACUCUCGGGGUAUAAUAGAACAAUAUAAUUAGGUUUUGCUCUUUGUUCGAUUGAAUGAGAAAAAGUACUAGUUGCAAAGUUAUACUGUUAGGGCUCAACUGGGUAGUCUAACUUUGUUCCGAUUUUGGUUCUUGUGAACGUUUAUAUCGAUUCGUUUCAAAUUUACACACUCGGGGCAUAAUAGAAAGCUUUUACUCCUUGUUCGAUAGAAUGAGAAAAAGUACUCGUUGCAAAGUUAUACUGUUAUGGCGCAACUGAGUAGUCUAAUGUUGUUCCGAUUUUGGUUCUUGUGAACGUUGACAUUGAUUCGUUCCAAAUUUACACACUCGGGGUAUAAUAGAACAAUAAAAUUAGGUUUUGCUCUUUGUUCGAUUGAAUGAGAAAAAGUUUGCAAUGUUAUACUAUCACGGCUCAACUUAGUAGUUUAACUUUGUUCCGGUUUUGGUUCUUGUAAAUGUUGACAUCUAUUCGUUCCAAAUUUACACUCUCGGGGCAUAUUAGAACAUUAUAAUUAGGUUUUGCUCUUUGUUCGGUUGAAAGAGAAAAAGUACUAGUUGCAAAGUUAUACUGUUAGGGCUCAACUGAGUAGUCUAACUUUGUUCCGGUUUUGGUUCUUGUGAACGUUUAAAUCGAUUAGUUCCAAAUUUACACUCUCGGGGCAUAAUAGAACAAUAUAAUUAGGUUUUGCUCUUUGUUCGAUUGAAUGAGAAAAAGUACUAGUUGCAAUGUUAUACUGUUAGGGCUCAUCUUAGUAGUUUAAUUUUGUUCCGGUUUUGGUUCUUGUAAACGUUGACACAUAUUCGUUCCAAAUUUAUACUCUCGGGGCAUAUUAGAACAUUAUAAUUAGGUUUUACUCUUCGUUCGAUUGAAAGAGAAAAAGUUCUGGUUGCAAAGUUAUACUGUUAGGGCUCAACUGAGUAGUCUAACUUUGUUCCGGUUUUGGUUCUUGUGAACGUUUCAAUCGAUUAGUUCCAGAUUUACACUCUCGGGGGAUAAUAGAAAGUUUUUACUCCUUGUUCGAUAGAAUGAAAAAAAGUAUUCGUUGCAAAGUUAUACUGUUAUGGUGCAACUGAGCAGUCUAAUGUUGUUCCGAUUUUGGUUCUUGUGAACGUUGAAAUCGUUUCGUAUUAAAUUUACACUCUCGGGGCAUAAUAGAACAAUAUAAUUAGGUUUUGCUCUUUGUUCGAUUGAAUGAGAAAAAGUACUAGUUGCAAAGUUAUAUUGUUAGGGCUCAACUGAGUAGUCUAAAUUUGUUCCGGUUUUGGUUCCUGUGAAUGUUUACAUCGAUUCGUUCCAAAUUUACACUCUCGGGGCAUAAUAGAAAGCUUUUACCCCUUAUUUGAUAGAAUGAGAAAAAGUACUCGUUGCUAAGUUAUACUGUUAUGGCGCUACUGAGUAGUCUAAUAUUGUUCCGGUUUUGGUUCUUUUGAACGUUGACAUCGAUUCGUUCCAAAUUUACACUCUCAGGGCAUAAUAGAACAACAUAAUUAGGUUUUACUCUUUGUUCGAUUGAAUAAAAAAAAGUACUAGUUGCAAUGUUAUACUGUUAGGGCUCAACUGAGUAGUCUUACUUUGUUCCGGUUUUGGUUCUUGUGAACGUUUACAUCGAUUCGUUCCAAAUAUACACUCUCGGGGCAAAAUAGAAAGCUUGCGCUCCUUGUACGAUAGAAUGAGAAAAAGUACUCGUUGCAAAUUAUACUGUUAUGGCGCAACUGAGUAGUCUAAUGUUGUUCCGAUUUUGGUUCUUGUGAACGUUGACAUUGAUUCGUUCCAAAUUUACACACUCGGGGUAUAAUAGAACAAUAAAAUUAGGUUUUGCUCUUUGUUCGAUUGAAUGAGAAAAAGUUUGCAAUGUUAUACUAUCACGGCUCAACUUAGUAGUUUAACUUUGUUCCGGUUUUGGUUCUUGUAAAUGUUGACAUCUAUUCGUUCCAAAUUUACACUCUCGGGGCAUAUUAGAACAUUAUAAUUAGGUUUUGCUCUUUGUUCGGUUGAAAGAGAAAAAGUACUAGUUGCAAAGUUAUACUGUUAGGGCUCAACUGAGUAGUCUAACUUUGUUCCGGUUUUGGUUCUUGUGAACGUUUAAAUCGAUUAGUUCCAAAUUUACACUCUCGGGGCAUAAUAGAACAAUAUAAUUAGGUUUUGCUCUUUGUUCGAUUGAAUGAGAAAAAGUACUAGUUGCAAUGUUAUACUGUUAGGGCUCAUCUUAGUAGUUUAAUUUUGUUCCGGUUUUGGUUCUUGUAAACGUUGACACAUAUUCGUUCCAAAUUUAUACUCUCGGGGCAUAUUAGAACAUUAUAAUUAGGUUUUACUCUUCGUUCGAUUGANNNNNNNNNNNNNNNNNNNNNNNNNNNNNNNNNNNNNNNNNNNNNNNNNNNNNNNNNNNNNNNNNNNNNNNNNNNNNNNNNNNNNNNNNNNNNNNNNNNNUGUGCCGCAUCAUCCGCCCCGGCAGACUGGGAGCGUGUAAUCGGCAUCGCCACUACAAAGCAUAAAAGCGCAAGUUAGUAACCCACGCUGUCGCAUCCCCGCUCAAAAAGAUAAAACCCCAAAUCAUGCGAAAGUAAGGAAGUGUCCUCCACUACUAACUCCCGAUGUUACGUUGUCGGCCGCCAACGUAACCCUCCGCGAAGUUAGAAGCCAUACACUCCGAUCAAACUCUAACUUUUUAGAGUUGUCAUAAACCCAAUCACAAUACUUUCGCUCACAAGUCAAUUAGACCCCGUCUCUCACGAGCCUAAUUCCUAUAGUCCAACCGGCCUAAGGUUCGCUAGGUCUGUUAGAUGUAUGCCCUAGAAGCCAACCAGGCCGACACAUAUAUUCUUUCUAGGACAUAAAUUUGUAUUUGACUUUUAAAUAUUAUGAAUAACUUUGGGUUUUUAUUUCCAUUCAUGUUGUGUAUGUGUCCAUGAAUCGUCCAAGGAAUUAAUAAGAUGAUGACAUAUAUUCUCAAGUGUUGAGAAUUUGAGACAUGUGUCAUUGGUGAUUAAUUCCUAAAUGCUCCCGAUCAAUGGAUCAUCACGGGGACGGUGAUUGAUCCGAUGAGAUUGGUGCAUAAGUCGCUUCCCUUUUGGGUAGACGAGUCUCGAGUCAACAGUGUGGGGACACUGAAGCGAAUAUGCAGGUGGUUGUUAGAGAACAAGGGUACCGAGCGUGACCAACGCGAGAAGUCACUUGGAUGUCUACUCACUCGUCAGUGACUUACUCAAUUGUUGCAGUAGUGUGACUGGUCCUUUGACCAGCGGUGCCUCGGCUAUUCACAAUGAGGUUACUGUAGUUUGACUGUACAUACACUUGGUCCCUAGCCAUUUGGGUCCUUGUGGUGCAUGUUGGCUGCAGUAGGUUCAUUGUAGGAAUAGGGUGCGCACUUAGAUGGAAUCUAUCUCCCUUGGUAGAUAGGGGUGUUAGUCCUAUGUGAUUUAUGAGACCGAGUUUAGAAGACCUUGGCCAGGGCAGAAUAAAUAGCGGAAAAGGGUUUCCGAUAUUAGAAACUCGAGUCGAAUAAAUUUAACAUAUGACAGACGAUGGGGUUUGACGAGUUAUUCCAUAACCUCCGUCUAGUCGGGACUCAUGAUAGAAGGAUUGUAUCACACCGGUAACUGCACCAAGAGGUUCAUUAUUCCAUUCUACUGGAAUGCCACUACAUGCUGCUAGGCGUCACUGGUGGAUGGUGAGACUCAUGAGAAUUAUCUAGAUGAUCGAUAAUUCUUAUUGGGCUGAGUUGGAAUUGUUCCGAUCCAUUGAAAAGAGUUUCAGUGAUAUUGUUGAUAGUGAUCAAAAUAUAUCUCACUACCAGAUAGAAUAGAACCUAUGGGGUCACACACAUAAGAGGUUGUGAUUGAUCGAAUAGCUAGAUUGCGAUUAUUGAAUCGUCGGAGGACCUAAUUGUCAAUAUAAUGAUAAUUGGACUAAUUUGUAAUUGUUACAAAUUAGUGGUAUUAAGGUGUAACUGUUACAAGAGAGGACUUACUAAUAGUUAGUAAAUUAUAAGAGGACUUAUGUGCAAAUGUUGCAUUAUUAAUUUGAUAUGAUCAAAUUAAUAUAAAGAUCGAAUCAAAUUAGGAUUUGAUCGAUCUAACCAAUUAAGGAAAGGAUAAAUUUAAUCUAGAUUUAUACUUAUCCUUAAUUGUCAUUAUAUUAUUAGGAAUAGGAUUAUAUUCCUAUAUAUAAUAUACGGGAGUUUUUAGAAAACCCAAGCCGUCAUCUAUCCUCUCUUCUCUCUUCCAUCUUCUAGCAAGAAAGACGUCCUUUUGCAAGGGAGCUAGCACCCCGGUGAGGACAUCGAUCAAAUCAAGAACCUCGUGUGGAUACCUAUAGAGGUCGGACGCGUGUGCGGCUUCAAGAGAACCCGAUUCUACGAUCAUCAAAUUGAGGUGAAGAUCUAUCAACGAAAAAGGUAAAGAUUCGAUCUUGUUUUUCUUCUUUAAUCUUAAAACAUGAGGGAUCCUAAUUGCGUGGUUUUUGAGAUUGGAUCUCGAGAGUUUUCUAAAAUCAAAUUUGUUUGAUUUCUUUUUCCGCUGCGUUUUUACCGUACGCAAUUUUCUAACAAGGUCCACUAAGACUCAACCUAGGCUCUGAUACCAAAUUAAUCUGUCACGCCCGGACCGGCGGACAGGCCUCCGGUAGGUGCCAGACCCGCCCAUAUGUCUACACAUAUAAGGCGUCUACAAUAAAAGCGGAAGUAAAGCAAGAUAGAACAUAAUAAUAUAAGGGGUAAGCUACGAAUAAUGAUAUCAGAGCAGUUAGAGUUCUAUCAUCUACACCAGAGUAAAGAAAUAGAGCUAGACAAUAAAGAAACAAUAAGUAGUACACUAUCAGUCUCAAAAGUACAAAAAUGGUGGUCUCUAAUACACUGGUACAGCUCUCAACCUCUCCAAAAAGAAAUACAUCGAGAGGUAGACCACCUAAACUCGUCUCUCGCUGAAGGGCUAACUCGAAGCGACGCCCUUACCACGGUCCCUAGCCUCUCCCGGCGUGGAAGGCUCUGAGAGAAAAGCUAAAACAGAGGGCGUGAGAACUAUAAUUUAUAGUUCCCAGUGGGCAAUUACUGACCUCAGCUCAUUGCACCACUAGGCCCAAAAGAGAAGGGUAAGUCAAAAGCAAUAACGAGUAAUUUGCAUCUAUGAAAGCAUAAUGAAAAUGCUAAAUAUUACUUGCAAUUAAACAUGGCAUUCAUGUAAUGCACAAUGAUCUUGUCAUGAAGAAUGUGUCUCUACUUAGCCAUAAAUAAUGUCAUGGUCUGCUUAAUGAAAUUAUGAGGAUUAUCCCUUAUCGUAGCAACAUUGUUUAUAUGAAUGCAAUUAAGCAAUGUCUCCUAGCAUACUACUUGUAUGUAUGUAUACCCAAAGUCCAAAUCUAUGCUAGAAACAAGUCCGAGUAAUCCAACUACCACUCUCUAUUUAGUAGUGAUUAUAACAAACUCAUCCCGUGUCGAUUUCCAUUUCCAAUUAAGGACCUACCAAAGGUAGUCCAGCUUGUGCCGCCUAAGUGCCUGUGGUAGCCCGACAUCCCUACUCUUGGAAUGUGUCUGUCCCACUCGACCCCGUAGGCUUCUCAAUACCGCACGAGCGAACAUAAGUCGCGUAGGCUAACUCCGGAGUGCCGGCUUGUAGGAAGCGACCCUCACAAGCAUGUGCGAAUGAGCACAAAUGGCAAACAAGCAAGGUCACUGUCUCAAGUACUCUAUCCACAUGUCUCUAACAUGGCAAGGUCACUAGCAUCCCAAGGGUCUAGCCCAAUGUCUCUAAGUGAUGUCCCAACACUCACUUGCUUAGUGCCUCUUUAUGACACUUAAGAUACCUCUUUAUGACACUUAAGCAUCACAAUAGAUCGAGCCCAAAUCUUGUUCUAUGUUUCAAUUAAAACAUUAAUACCAAUGAUUACCAUGACCCGGGCCUAAUGCCUCUUUAUGACAUUGUCCCAAUUCUCAAAUAGUCCAAGUUCUCAAGCCCUCUCUAGGCUUCUAACAUUCCUAAUGUCACAAUUGGCAUAUAGGUUAAAUGUAUGAAAGCAAGAUUCAUUUCCAUAAUAGGAAUCAUGGUUCCCACUCAUAACUAGAAUGCUAAGUCUCACAUGCAUGCACUCUACCACAUAGGGGUCUAAAAUUUCACUAUACAUAAUAUAUGCAUGUUAAGCAUUCUAAAAUUCAUAUUAAAUACAUUUAAUAUGGAAAGGCAUGAAUUUCUACUUUACGAAACAUAUUUUGCCAAAUAUGAGCAUUUCUCAUAUCAUAGGCUAGGUCAAACCCACCGAACCGUCGCGUGCUCCUUCGAUUCGCCGAAUGGAGUUGUCCACGAGUCUCACAAUACCCUAAAAGUGAUCAGCGAAGAGAUACACGGGCAUUACGAUCAACUAUAAGAUCAAACUUUAACAAACUUGGCAAAAGGGCUAAAACUCACCUAAUGUGUGAAAAAUCUCUCUCAAGCCCCAAAAGAGACUAAAUCCCUUCCAAUCCAAGCUCAAGGAAGGUUCAAAUCCAAUCAAUCUAGCCUCAAAAGCCCUAGAUCAAAAAGCCCCAAAAAUCAACCCUAAUACCCAUUCUAGGGUUCCAAAUGGUAAAACCUACCAAAUCAAGGAUCAAAGGGUAGAAUCCAAGUACUAACCUCCCAAGAUGCCUCCAAACAGGCUCCAAAUCUUCUAGGGUUGAAGAUUGGUCCACCACCAAGCUCUACAAGCAAGCUCCAAGCCUUGCAAAGGUGGAAAAGAGAGAAAAGGGGUUGAGCUCCAAGCUCCCUCAAGCUAGCUCCUCUUCUUCUUCUCCUCCUUCUUCUUCUUCUCUCUCUAGAAAGUGUAGGGAGAGGGUGAGAAUGAGAAAAUGAGAGAGGGAAGAGGAGGAAAUGGCUAAUAAGCCCAUCUAGUGUAACAAAAUCCGGAGAGGCCCCUCAAAAAUUCAAAUUUACAUCAGCCCGAACUGGGCAGUUUUCGCCCAGAGGGACCGGUCUCUCCCCAGCAGGGACCGGUCUCUCGCUGCGAACCCGAAAAACCAACAUUCGGGAACCGGUCUCUCCCUGCGCGGGACCGGUCUCUCACUGCGUAGACGCGCUCGGGGACCGGUCUCGCCCGCCAGGGACCGGUUGCCUCAAGGCUGCCGCAGCACUGCUCACUGGGGGACCGGUCUCUCCUUUCAGGGACCGGUCCCCGAGAGUAAAAACUCUCAGGACUGUCCAGAAUUUUAGUUUUCGAACUUUUUAGGUCGAAAAGCAUUCUACAACCCUCCCCCAAGUGUGGAAAAGCUCGAAAUACAUCCAAACAUUCGGACCUCGCAAUUUGCAAAGGUCCAGUGUGUUACAGCUGUUGGCAGCGUGUGUGGGCGGCAGGCAACCUCUGGGCUUGUUGUCCAAGGUCCCAAGCCUUUUUGAAAAUCAAAUGUUGAUUUUCGGUGCGUUUUUCGGCGAAAUCCGCCGACGGAAUGCGUUUUCGGUUCAGAAUUCUUCCGACGAUGCCUCGUGAUAAAUUGUUAUGUCGAUGUAGCUUGUUGGCUAGUCACCGCAUCGUUUCGAGGAUUCGGAAACGACGGGUGAGCGACGGUGGGUUCCGGUGUCGAAAUUGACACUUCCAGGAACCCGGAUCGGAACGAUUAUCCGACGAUAAUCGUUUCGAUGUGAGGAGAUGUGUUUGCUGCCAAGUCCCAUGAAUAAUGGUGUUUAUUGACAGCGGGUGACUCGUAGCAUGAGUCGGUGAGUUCCGGGACAGUUCGUGGGCCCCGGCGGUGUCCCGGUGCGAUUUUCAGGACUCUCGGCGAGUUACGGUAGUCGGUUUUGGGAAAUUGACCUCUGUGGGAUUGUUUGUGGGAUUGUGAGUUUAGUGUUUCUUAUUUGUGGGUUAGAUACGAAUCCGGUGGACCCUCCGUAGGUCCGGUUGACAAUCUUCCAUAGUUGGGAAACAGGCACGCUAUUCUUACAGGUGGGUUCUUCAACCCGAAGACGGUACAGUGGUGCACACUCGGUGACAUUCCCUUCACUCUUUCCUUGUUGUUUAUCUUGCAUGUUAUAUAUUGAGCCUAGCACCUAUACCAUAUCUUGUUAUUGCUCUACUUAGUUGGUUUGCAUGCCCGGUACUUAGUUGUUUAUCUUGCAUGUUAUAUAUUGAGCCUAGCACCUAUACCAUAUCUUGUUAUUGCUCUACUUAGUUGGUUUGCAUGCCUGGUAUCAUGUUUAGAAAUAGAGCGAUUUUGUGAUUAUCUGUGAGACCUAUGACCUAGUCGGUCAGUUCGUUGCAUUUGGUUUGUGACCUAGUUGGUCGGUUCUUGUAUCUUGUACCUGUGACCUAUUCGGUCGAUUCACUACAUCCGUUAUUGUGAUCUACUUGGUCAGUUGGACUACUUGGUGACCUACUCGGUCAGUAUACCUUGUGGGGUUGGAUUGUCGGCUAGUUGCCGAUGUUUUGUGACCUAGUCGGUCGGUUUUGUAUCUCGUAUUUGUAACCUAUUUGGUCAGCUUAUUGCAUUAUUAUCAUGACCUACUUGGUCGGUUGGACUAUUGGAUGACCCAUACGGUCGGUGUGCCCUAAGGGGCUGGAUUGUCGGCUAGUUGCCGAUGUUUUGUGACCUAGUCGGUCGGUUUUGUAUCUCGUAUUUGUAACCUAUUUGGUCAGCUUAUUGCAUUAUUAUCAUGACCUACUUGGUCGGUUGGACUAUUGGAUGACCCAUACGGUCGGUGUGCCCUAAGAGGCAGAAUUGUCGACUGGUUGCCGACGGUUGGCCAUUGAGCAUAUCAGCAUUGAUUGCUCGAGACUCGUACGCAUUUCACAAACACCAGCGGUCUGAUCCACCGCAAGAGGGUGUUCUUUUCCCGAAAAGUGGUUGGAUGUGCCAACCCGUGAGCCCAGCGGCCUAGAUUGGGUCAUAUGCAGGUAGAGUGGCAGUGGCACAGGCUUGAUGUUUGCGGUGCGGACCAACAGAGCAAUGGUUUCCGAUUGGGUAUUUUUGGGACUGAUCGUCCGAUUGAUGCAUACUUAUACUUCGUUCUGUAUUACAGUAGCGGUUAGUCAUAUUCCUAUAUAUUGUUGCUUACCCAUGCAUCAUUACUACUGUAGUUAUGAUAUCCAUGUAUGCAUUCUGUUCCAUUUCACAGUAGCGGUAGUUAUAUGUUUUAUUACUGUUUCCUUUCCUUCGGACAUUAUAGCUAUUGUAGUUGUGAUAUCUACCUAUGACUUGUUGAUCUCUUUCUGUCGGUGAGUACUCCUCGCCUUCGUCGGCUUGCGGUACCCACUGGGAGGAGAGACAUGUGUACAUGUUUUCACCCCUCACCCCCCUUUCGGGUGAUAUUGCUGGUCCGAGUUGGGACGGUUCGGGAGGUGCGUGUCUUAGCGAGCGAUAGAGCUUUUGAACCCGUCCAUUUGGUUUAAUUCUUAACUCAGUCUCUUUUAUUAAAUGACUUAGAAGUAAUUAUGGUUUAGUAUUUUAUGUGAAUUGAAUAAUUGGGAUUUCGUGAAUGUAAUAAAGGAUUUAUGUUUUUUGCAAAAUAAAAGUGGUUUUCUACCCCUCGAGGUAGUUGCUUUUAAAGAAAGAGAGUUUUCAUGUGGGAAACGAGUUUUAAAAAGUUUUCUUGGUUUUUAUGACUCAGUGCUUUUAAAAUGAGUUUCCGGGUAGGAAACAUUUUAAACUGAUAGAUGUGGAUUUAUGGAUAUUCGUUAACUGAAAUAAAUGUGGUUGUGAAUGGUGAAUGGAUAUGGAUGAUCAUGUACUGUGGUUGUAUCUUGUAGCAUGUAUAUUGUAUCUUGUACUUGUGCGACGCCGUGCAAAUACAGGGGAGACUCUGUCCGUGUAAACAGUGGACUCCCUAUAUUUGUGGCGGAUCUGGCAUACCUUGGGGGUCAAGGUUUUUUUUAUAAAAAAAAAUUUGGGCACUUCCGCAUUGUCUUUUAAAUCAAAAAGGGACCCCGGGGCGUGACACAAAUCCCUGGGCCUUUUGCUAAGUUUCUGGAGCAGUGCGGAAUUGUUCCACAGUACACCAUGCCAAGGAUACCAUGAUCAAAAUGGUGUUGCUGAAAGAAGGAACUGCACAUUAAUUGAUAUGCUUAGGAGUAUGAUUAGUAAUUCUACCCUUCCGAUAUCAUUGUGGAGUGAGGCACUCAAAACUGCCCUGUAUAUUUUUAAUCGGGUCCCUACUAAGGCUGUCACUAAGACUCCCUUUGAGCUUUGGAUAGGUAGGAAACCCAGUUUAAGAUAUUUUCAUACAUGGGAUUGUCAAGCUGAAGCCAAAUUGUAUGACCCACAAAUAAAAAAAUUGGACCUUCGAAUCAUAUCAGGAUAUUUUAUUGGUUAUUUAGAAAGGUCCAAAGGGUAUAAGUUUUAUUGUCCAUCACUUCCUAUAAAAAUUGCAGAAACUAAAACAGUACGAUUUAUUGAGGAUGAUGCAAUUAGUGGGGACUCUGAAUCUCGGUUCAUUGAAUUUGAGAAAAUUCAAGAGCAUUCAGAUUCUAUACAAGACAAAACCACUAUUGUUCCUCACGAUUUGAUAGUUCAUGUUCCAAUAGAACAACAAAUUGUUUUGAAACCACAAAGUGAUUGUGAACCUAUCAUUGAUGUACAACUGGAUAAUUCACAUCAAGAUGUACAAGUGAAUAAUCCACAUUAAGAUGUAAAUAUGGAUAAUCAGAUAGAUUUAAGAAGAUCGUCAAGCCAGGGAAGACCGGCUGUAUCUAGUGAUUAUAUUAUCUAUCUUUAAGAGAAUGACCAGAGACUAGAUGGUCCUUUUAGUUUUUUCGAAGUCAUAAAUAGUAGUAAUUUUACGGAAUGAUACAAUGUCAAGAAGGAUGAGAUUGAAUCCAUGAACCACAAUAAGAUAUGGAAUCUUGUUGAGUUACCUAUAGGAGUUAAACCCAUAGGAUGUAAGUGGGUUUAUAAAACCAAAAUGGAACUCCAAAGAUAACAUAGAGAGAUACAAGACCCGUCUUAUGGCAAAAAAAAUUACGCAGAAAAAAGGCAUUGACUAUAAAGAGACUUUCUCUCCAGUUUCUAGAAAGAAAUAUUUUCGUAUACCGACCGUCCCUAUAGCAAGUUGCAAACGGCUUGGUGGUUGGUACCCAAGACCCAAGUUCGAAUCCUAAUUGAUUCAUAUUUCCAGCUAAGUUUAUUUCUAAAUGAAAUAAACGAAGUGGGUACGUGCUACCUAUCUCUCAAAAAAAAAAAAAAAAAAUUCUUUCCGUAAUAUUAUGACUCUGGUUGCUCAUUUUGAUCUCGAGCUACACCAGAUAGAUGUCAAAACUACCAUUUUAAAUGAUCAAUGCUAGUUGUGGCCAUUUUUAAAAUAGAUGAAAAGAUAUUUAAUAUUUUUUAUUAUAUAUAUUAUUAAUAUAUAAUAAUUACUAUUCUAUAUAAUUAUUAUUAUAAUUUCUAUUUAUACAUUAAAUAUAUCUAAAAUUAUAAUAAACAUAUUACAUAACAUAUAAGAGUUAUAUAUUUAGGAAUAUUAAUAAAUAAUUACAAAUUCAUAAAUAAUAUAAGAGUUAUAUAUUUAGGAAUAUUAAUAAAUAAUUAUAAAUUUAUAAAUAAAAUAUUAUAUAAUAAUAUCUCUAUAUAAAAAUAAAAUACAUAUACAUAGAAAUAAAUAAUAUAUAAUAAAUAAAUAAAUAAAAUAAUAAUAAAUAUAUAAUAUAUUAUAUCUAUAUAUAUAUACUUAUAAUAGAGAGAGAGAGAGAGAGAUGAGAGAGAGAGAGAGAAAGAUAAAGAAGAGAGAAGAGAGAGGGGUACUGGCUGGCUAAUUCAGACACACAGCUUUGUGGCUACAACUUCUAACCACCCCAUCAAAAAUUGAUGUGGUUAGAUGAGAGAGAAAGAGAAAUUGGGAAGAAAUUCAAAAUGAGAGAAUUGAGACACCCAAAUUUCUUCCCAAUUUUCUUCCUCUCUAAUUCAAACCAUCCUUUAUCAAAAUUGAUUGAUGGUUAUAAAUUGGAGCAUCAAGCUACUGUGCUCCCUAAUACCAGACAGUAGAACUGCCUAUAUAAUAUAGAGAAGCGCUACCUGGUAAAUUAUCGUAUAGUACGAUAGGCCUCCGUAGUACCUAAGUGUUUUCAUGAUGAGCUUCCAAUUGCUAUCACUCCGUUAGACCGUUGAUAACACAUUAAAAAUAUUUGAAAACUAAAUGUCAUAAUUUUUUGGACAACAUUUGGCUAAUGAUCAAAAGGUUUCAAAAUUGACAAUUUUAAUGUAGAUGUGAUGCAUGUUGUUAAAUUAAUGGUGUAAUACAAUCAAUCUAAUUAAUUUUAUAAAAAAUUCUUUUUACUAUUAGAGUAAGAUCAGUACAUCUGAUAUGUAAUUCAAGUCUUUAAUCAUCAUUUUUUUGAAAUUUUUAUUUCAACCGUUCAUAUAUAGUAUAUAUUAGAGAGGAGGAGAGAAGAGAGUUGUGGCUGGUAGCUAUGGAACACGGAGGCCUCACGUGUUCCAAGUCAUUUUGAUGUCGGACUUUCGAAUCGACGAUCAGUCUUAAUUUAGAGUUGAUCUAGAGUAUUGAAAGUACCUUAGAAAAUAUAAUUUUCCGAUUUUCGAUAUCAUUAUGCCAUGAUCGAGAGGCUCAAAACAAUAAUUUCUAAACAGGCCGCGUGUGACCGGAUGUGCGAAAGUUAAAACGGUGUGAAAUUAUGCAAAUAACAUAAAUUUUGAUAGAAAAUUCUUUAUACCAUAUAAAACAAUACUAAAACUUGAUGCUAAAAUUUUAAUGUCAUAUCACAUAUUGGUAAGAUUUUAUUUUCUAGCCGUUGAUUUGAACCUUCUUGAUCACUCUAAGCAAAUAAUCUGAAAAAUUAACAAAAUUUAUUUCUAGAUACUUCAAAUACUCUACGAUAAGUUUAACGGAGACCGGAUUGUCGAUUCAAGAUUCCGAACAUACAAAACAAAGUGGAAUGCACGGAUGCCGCUCCGUGCUUCAUAAGCAUCCUAAGCCGACCUAUAUAUAUAUAUAUAUAUAUAUAUUAUUAUAUAAUAAAUAUAUAUAUAUAUUAUAUAUAUAAGUCAUAAUUUAUAGUCAGUCUAACAUUGUAGCACGGAGGCUUCCGUGCUACGGCAAGUUUUUUCGAUGGACUGCGGCCGUUCAAAGUUCGAGCGAUCGGCAUACUAUAGACUUUGAUCUACAAUAGGAAAAUAUUUGGAAACGCUAAAUUUAUAAAUUUUUCGAAUCAUUUGGCUAGUGAUCAAAAGGUCUAAAUUGACAAUUUUAAUGGUAGACUGUGAUGCAUUUGAAAAUUUAACCUGUGUUAAACAUAAUCCAAAUCAGAUAAAAUUUUAUACGAAAUUUUUUUACAUUUAGAGAAGAUCAGUACCUCUGAUUUAAAUAUAGUCCUCUCAUCAUCAUUUUUUAUAUAAUUUUUAUUUCAGCCGUGUUCAUUUUUCAGACGUACUCGUCUUUGAUUAGGUAAUGAAUCAAAUGAAAUUAUGAAUUAGUUCCAAAUAUUUCAAAUAUGUAGAAUUCAAGUCUAACGGAGCCGAUCUGUCGAUUUGGAAAGCGGCAUCAUGAAAACACUUGUAGCACAGAAAUGUCGCGCGUAAUCCGAUAAUAUAGACUAAGCCCUGCUCCUCUUCUCUCUCUCCUCUCUCUCCUCUUCUCUAUAUAUAUAUAGAUAUAUAUUAUAUAAUUAUAUAUAAUAAGUAUAUAUAUAUAUAUAUAUAAUGAGAGGGAGGUCCAGGACCUCCCUCUCACGCUGUCCAGGAGGCCAAAGUGGCCUCGUGGACCGCGUAAAAAAAUUUACCAUAAGCCACGAUUUUGUUCGCUCCCCAUUUUCGUUUUCCGCAAUGCUCGCACCAAAAAUGAAAGCAAGCGUUUUACCCCAAAUAUGUAAAAUUAGUUUUCAUGGAAAAAUUUUUUACGUAGAAUCAAACGAUCGGCAAAUUAUUUUUUCAUUAAAUUUUUUUUUUCCACCCACUUUUACAUCAAACCAAACACACCCUAAAUGCAUAAAAAAUUUGUAAAUAACAAAUUAUCAAGAAGAAUAAUCUUUAAGUCCUUCAAAUACUUUUCUUUUCAAUAAUGGUUGCGAUUGUUGUUACCUAGAGGAGGAGCAAAUGUGUAACGCUGAGGGCGGUGUCGCCAACAUGAACACUAGGUGAAGGUUGAGGCCAGCCUCUACUACGAGGGAGGGGGUUUAAAGGAAUAGAGGAUGAGGAGGAGGCGGAGAGGAGGGGAGGGGCUGGGUGAGCAAGGGGUCAGGGUACGUAUGGCGCGAAGCAAAAGGUGAGAGAGAGAUAUGGAGAUGGAUAUAUAUAUAUAUAUAUUGUAAUAUACCGAAAAUUCGGAAAAUAAAAUAUCGAACUUUAGUCAAAGUGACCAAAGUGCGAGGACGGUACACUUCGAAAAAUCCGAAGGUGUUAAGAUGAGUAAAAGUGUGUUGUGGAAGGUUUUCGAGAGCUAAAGAAAUGAAUUCUGCAAAACUGCAGAUUUUCAGCUCUCGGGGACCGGUCCCUGGUGGGUGAGACCGGUCCCCGAACGCGUAUGGAAUGAGACAGCUGAAAAAUCGGCUAAGUCCUGAGAGAGUAGCUCUCGGGAACCGGUCCCUGUCCGAGAGACCGGUCCCCGAGAGACCGGUCCCACAAGGGGAGACCGGUUGCACUGCGCGCAGCAGCUCUGGCUGCGCUGGGACGACGUUCGGGAACCGGUCCCUGAAGGAGAGACCGGUCCCUGCCUGCGCGAUCAGCCCAGGUCGGGCAGUGCAUUAAAGUGAAAGUUGAGGGGUUUUAUUGCAUUUUUGCAACCCAUUGAGCUAUGUUAGUGGGUUGAGGGGCUUUUCCUCUCAUUUCCUCACCCUCUCACACUCUCUUCUCUCCCUCUCUCUCUCUAGAAGACAAAAGAGAAGAAGAAGAAAGGAAGAAAAGAAGGAAAAGAAGAGGAAGAAAGUGAAGAAGAAGACAAGGAGAAGAAGAAACUCCCUCACCCUCAUCUCUAGCUUGGAAAAGGAGCAAGUUUAGAGGUAAGCUUUGCCUCUUCUCAUGCUAAACUCCCAAACUAGGGUUUUGGAAAACCUAGAAGUGAUUUUAAUGGAGUAUUUAGAGUCUUGGAAGCUUUCUUUUUGCUUCUUUUGAGAUCAAGACCAUGAAAAUGGUGAAGCUUGAGGUGAGCUUCAUCACCUCUCAUGGUGAAACCCUAAGUAGGGUUUUGAUUUGUCUAAAGAUGGUUCUAAUGGACUUUUUAGAGUAUAAUGAAGCUAUUUUUGCUUCUCUUUGAGAUCAAACCCUAGGUUUGAUAUGUGUAUUGGAGCUAGGGCACCAAAUUGGGGCUUUUGCUCAUGAGGGUUUCUAAAUGAAAUUGACCCUUCAAAAACCUAAUUGGGGGUAUUUCCGACGCAUUGGUGCACUCGGAAUAACGUUACGAAAAGCCAAAGUAAAGAUAUGAGCAAAAUAGCCUAAUAGGGCUUCGUUUUGCCGCAGGUAAAGAACGAAAGGUCUAAAAAUCCCAAGAAAAUCAUCGGAGCACCUUUGAAAGCCUACGAGGUGGGUGGUGCUUCUCAAACUCAUUGAACUUCUCUCUAUGCCUAAUGUGUCAUUCAUUUGAGCAUGUGUACUAUAUUGUUGCAUGCAUAUUAGGGUAAAGUAAUGAUAAGAAUGUGAUGAUAGCAUGAUUGUGAGUACAACUUGCUUAUAAUGAUGGUAGAGAACCAAAUAAAUGUCAAAACCCUAAGUGUAUGCAUUAGAGAAAAUGUGAGCACCCAAAGUGAGCAAAAGAACCGAGUGACACUAUGACAUAGAUCGAGUGGCAUUUGAAAAUGUAAAGUAAAGAGACACUAGAGUUAGUGUGAUGCAAAGAACUAAUGUGAUGUAAAGAAUAAUGAAAAUGACAAUGUGUAAUGUUAAAGUAAAGUGGAGCAAUAAGAAUAAGAAAUGUAUGGACAAGAAUGCUAGAGCUAGCAAAAGUAAAGAAAUGUAAAGAAUGUGAUUGCAUGAGUUUGCAACAUAAAGUGAUGUAAAGAACACUAGAGCUAGUGUAAAGUCAAGAUUGAACUUAUAAAUCCUUUGAGUUAAGGAUAUGAUCAUACUUGCUAUGAGUUCCGUGCUCGAGGGCGGUCGCUCCCCCUCGGGCGAUGCGCUCCGGAGUUAUGCAUCCGGGUUGGAGUAAACCCGUAAGGACGGUCCUAGCUGGUGAGUUCCUGCGAUGAUGGACUUAAUGUGAAGCAAGUUAAUGUGGCGAAACCUCCGGGUUAGCCUUGAGAUUAAAGAACAAAGAACAAAGAGCAAAGAAUAAAGAACAAAGUACAAAGCAAAGUUAAAGAACGAAUGAGUUUGCAUAAUCUGCAUAUAUUUAAUGUUGAGCAUACUUCUUGCUAUUCGUUCAGGCAUAUUAGCAUCAUGUUAUAGACUGGUUACUAUAUCCUGCUUAUUCUUCUAUUAUGCCUGAGUUAGUCCUAGUGGGAAAGUCGGUGAUGUUGAGGCCGAACCCACUGGGAACUUUGUUGUAGUUCUCACCCCACUAUUUCCACAGAGCCGGGACCGAGCGAGCCGGCGAGUGACCGAGGUAAAGGUAUCGCGCCUUAGUCAGAGGCCACCACAGUUGGGUUCAUUUUGUAGUAAAGUACCCUAUGCUCAUCUUUUGUACUUGACGAUGAAUGAUGUAAAGAAAAGAAUGUAAUGUGUAUUUUGAGGUAAUUGUAAUGUAAGAAAGAAUCCUAAAUGUAAGAAAUGGAUGCAAUGUAUAUGAUCUAAAUUGAAUCAUAGUACUUAUAAAUGUUUAGUUUUUCUUUUUUUCACUAAUGGCUAUUGCUUACCCUCGUGUAAGCCGUUUAUGUAUGUUUCCGCUAGUGCUUUUCUCUAUUGAUGAAAAUGUGCAUGUGAUGAGCCUUGGGCGGAUAGGGGAAACUCUGUCCGUUCGGCGUCUGUUUGACGUGCUCGGGUCGGGCCAAAUUGGUUUCGGUCCCGGGGCGUGACAUAUAUAUAUAUAUAUAUAUAUAUAUAUAUAUAUAUAUAUAUAUACUGGAGCUCUGAUACUAUAGUCAUAUUUUGUAAGGACUGAGAUUUUGACAGUAUAGCUAAACUCUCUGUUGAUGAUGUUUUUGUGUGUAUUUUAAUUACACACGCACUCAUCAAGUUUCGGGAGAAAACGAGUCAGAACGGAGAUUUUACGCGAUCUUUAGUUUUCACUUAAAGUGAAUAGUAACCUGGUUUUCCGGAGAGGCCACUGAGUAGAGUUGGUUUCCGGCGCGUAUCAGACUCCGUUCAUAGCGAUCCAAUAGCUCGUUUCGAACGGUUCAGCUAUUCUGGAACCAUUGGCGAUGACGGAUUUCAGGUUUUACGCACGGAUUUCGAGAAAUCUGAAAAUACAUGUAUUAUAUGUAUUCGUGUGUAGUUUCGCUGUUUGGAGAGAGAAUAGGUUUUGUCGCAAAUUCGUGACCAAACGAGGCGAAACGAAGUUGUGGUUUUGUUGUCUCUGUCGUGCUGAUCGCACUAGUGUGAUCCGUUGGCGAAUCUGACGAAUGGAUCUCCUGAUUUCGCGCGUUGAUCUGGGAGGGGUCAUUAAUGGCAAAACGGUAAUUUUGCGAAAAGCGCUGCAUUUUAUGUACCGUUUUGCAUGAAAUCGAAUGUGGAGGUGUAUUAGCGCAUUUUACUCGCGUGGUGAGGGACUCAGAUUAAAAUAUCCAAGUUUGGUGGACUUUAUAUGCAAUUAUGCUAUAUAUAUAUAUAUAUAUAUAUUUGUAUCUAGGGUAAACAUCAUGAAAACCCUAGCCCUCCUCAGCUUAGUUGAUCCCUCGGCCGCCCCUCCUCCCUCACCUCAUGUGCAGCGGGCCUUCCGGUGGCUGCUGACCGAACUCCGGUCAGCCACUACCUCCUCAGCCACUUUUCAUCCUCCCCCUCUCUUGUUUUCCACCAUCUUCUCCACCAAGCUUGAACCCGAGCUUAAGGAGGACUCAAACCCUCCUCCCUCGGCCGCCCCAAUCUCCCCUCGGCCUCUGGAGGUCAACCGCCGUCGAACCCAAGCUUCCUUGGCCGCCGCCGCCACCAUUGUUGCCAUUGCUACCACCUCGGGCUAGUCGAGACCUGUUAGUACGUAUGUAUCUCGGCGGACCUCGGAAGUCCUCGGUUUGCCUUAACGAGCCACAUAAUCACUCGAUUUAUAUAAAAUGAUAGGAUUUUAUGUAAAUGUAGGGAUUUUUAUGCAAUUGUGCACCUUGUGGCUACUGUGGGCAGUGCGUAUGUGUCGAAAUAGACACUUCCGGGAACCCAGAUCCGAACAAUUAUCCGACGAUAAUUGUUUGUUUGUGUUACCUUGUGUUUGCUGCCAAGACAUCCAAAUCAAUGUGUUUUGUGGCAGCGGGUGACUCGUGGCACGAGUCAGUGUGUUUUGGGACACUUAGUGGGUCCUGACGGUGUCCCAGUGUGAUUUUCGAGACUUUCGGCGAGUUACGGUGAUCGAUUUUGGGAAACUGAUUUUCGGGGAUUUGUGUAGGGGUUUGUGAGUCGUGUACUUUGGUUUGAUGGGUUGGAUACUGACCCGGUGGCUCUUCGUAGGUCUGGUUGACUCGUUGCGUACCCAGGUUUUCAACACAAUAGUGAUAGGUGGGUGCUUCGAGUUGGUAGUCGGUGAGAUCGUUUCGCUUUCCUCUCCUUUGCUCUUAUAUAUCAGUACUUGGGUCUCUACAUGUCAGUUACUUUGGUUUAUCAUUCGUAUCUAUAUCUUGUUGAUUACAUGACAGUAGUUAUUGAUAGACAUGGAGAGCAGGCUUGCAUAUGUUGUAUAUCUGUGGACCUUGGGUCCAGGCAACACAUCGACUCCUUUGUCAUGUGUUUCGAUCUAGUUGAUCGUGGUUCGGCGUUGUAUGCCCUUGCAUCUGGCUUCGGCCAAGGCACCGGUCUUCUUGCCGGUUUUUGUAUUGAGCAUAUCAGUAUGAUUUAGUCACAGCAUUGUGUAUUCUAGACAGCGGUUGGUUUGGCCACCAACUAGGCGGUGUACGUAUCCGGAUAGGUCGUCGGUGGACGCAUGAAUCAUUGGCAGUGUCUGCUCUGUGACAGGCAACGAUUGAGGUCUGCAGACCAAUAUAGCAGCACCAGAUUGGGUUUGAUUUUGAACUAUUUACCCUUGAGGCAUCCUUUCAGUUGAGUUUUUGUUACAGUAGUAGUUUCGUUCUCACUCAUUUACUAUCAUGUUUCUAGUAAUACUAUAGUUGCUUUUAUAUCAUACCAUGUACAUAUCUAUUGUUCAAUCUCCUUUGUUUUUCAGUGAAUACGAUUUGCCUUUGUCGCUCUGUCGUACCCACUGGGAAACCUUGAUUGCGAUUUCUCACCCCCCAUUUUCCCAGGUGACUAAGGCAAGGAGUUGGCAUUGAGCACGACGAGAAGACGUACUAGCUAGACCGCAGUAGCGACCGCCACCCUGGUUACAUUUUAUUUCUGCAUUUAGUAAUUUAAUAAUUAAAUGGUUUAGUUAGAUGAUCCCCUGAAUGUUUGAAUAUUCGUAAACUUGUUUAAGUUGGUGAUUUUCCGUUAUGCAUGUGAUUGGGGAUUUAUGGAUCUGUGGCUUUGGUUUUAUGGAUAAUUGGUUCUUGGAUUUAUGUAUUUAUGCAUCGUGGUUUUCUAUCCCUCGAGGUAGUCGGUUUUCAAAAUAGAGUUUCUGAGUGGGAAAUAAUUUUAAAAGAGUUUUCGAAUGGUUUUAUGGAUGAUUAAUUAGAGUUUAAAAAUAAAGCUUCCAAGUGGAGAGCACUUUUAAGUAGGAUGACUGUUGUACUGUGCAUCGCAUCAUUCAGCGCCUAAGGAGUGUUUUGAGGCAUGCAUCAUCUCUAAGGAUCGCUAGCUGUAUGGAAAUGCAUCGCAUGGAUUGUUUGUGGAUUGGUGAAUGUAGACUGUGGUUGUGAUCUUGAUGUAGCUGUCGGUACGCCGUGCAAAUAC
rnacentral:lncRNA from 1 species